UCCCAGGCCUCUCUCACUGGUCCCAGGCCUCUCUCACUGGUCCAGGCCUCUCUCACUGGUCCAGGCCUCUCUCACUGGUCCAGGCCUCCCUCACUGGUCCAGGCCUCUCUCACUGGUGAGCCGGGUCUCCUUUUGGACCGUGUGUCAGACUAAGCAAUAAACCCUCACAUCGUGACACCUCUUCACUCCCUAGGAGGGAGGCCCCGCCCCCAGCCCCUGUAGAGGCGGCGUCACUAAAGCUCUGCCUACUACACUCUUUACCAGGGCCUUUAAAGCGUUGUCAUGGAAACCCAGUCCUUGCUAACGGGGGGCUCAGAGACGCGCCCCUGAACGUCCCCCACGGCCCUUCAGCCGUAGAUCAGCCUCACCUCCCUUUGAGCCUCAGAGGAGCCCGGGGCCACAUGAUGGGCUAGGGGCCACAGCGGGGGCCUGGAGCCACAGGGAGGGGCCACCGUUAGGGGCCCAGCUCCACACAUCACUCCUGUAAAUACGUUCACAGAGGCCUGGGCCAGCCCAGACACCAGACUAGGGGACGCCUUACCCCCCCUCUACCCUGAGGGUCCGUAGAGGCUGACCCCCCCCCCCUCCUACCAUGAGGGUCCCUAGGGGCCCGCACCACACCGUCACCGCACCGCGCGAGAGGAGAUGCAACUCUUUUGUUUUUGUACGUUGGCCCAGAGGGUUCGGUUGGCCCGCUCAGAGCUGCUUGUUCCCAGGUCUGUAGUUCUGUCAGUACUACUCGUCGAUCUAAAGAAAGCUCCUAUACUUACGGCUGUAUACAUAGAUAUGUACUUUUUAUUGCACGUUUAAUGGGAUCUUCACUUGCUGAAAAGGAAGAGAAAAAAAGUCAAAUAAAAAAUGUAGAAAAAAAGUAAAAAACGAAUCCCUGUACACAUAUUGGAACACUUUGCUGCUUGCUUUGCUCUUCCUAGAUCAACAUUAGCCCGGUCACGGCUCGUCAAACCUGUUGGAACAUCUCUCUUUAGUUCUGUUUCUCACCUCAUCAAGCUAAUCACACCAUACAUGAACAAUAUUGUUUAUAGCAUUAAGAUAGUCGAAUCUUCUAUGUCGAAUAUUGUUUAUCGCAUUAAGUUAAUCACAGUCAUACAUGUAAAAUAUUUUUUAUCUCAUUAAGUUCAUCACAUCAUCCAUGUAGAAUAUUGUCUAUCUCAUUAAGUUAUCACAGUCUUACAUGUAGAACAUUGUUUAUCUCAUUUUACUUGUAGCUGACUUUGAGAUUUGCAUUUUUGUAUUAGAAGCAUCUUUUCAAUCUGUAUAAUGUGUUUUUCUUCUCUUCAUUUUAACUAAAUCUGUUCUUCAGCUGAUUCUGUCAAACCAUCGCGGUCUCAUCGCUACGCGUUUUGUGUUAUUUCCUAAAACGCUUUUUUAUGUUUUUUCUCUUUGGUGCCACUUUGUAUAUUUGGAGUGCUUCUGUAAAAAAAAUGAAAAGCAUACAAAAAUACCAAGAGUGAAUGCAAAAUAUGCAAUUGUGCCUUUUUAUACCUACCGGUAUGGUUUAUUGUGUAACAGUUCUCCCCCAGUGAUGCUGGGAAUGCUUUGAGGAAAGGGGCGUGGCCUAAAACAACGAUGACACGCCCCCGUGCAUUUGCAUAUCCUGGGGCAAAGAAUUAUCUGUGAUGUCAUGAGGGGUCGUUUUAAGAGGGCCAAUCAAAAUCGUUCUAGCCGCCCGAGUGGCCAUGUUGACUCCCCCCCCCACCAAACAACAGCUGACCAUAUUAUGACGUACCAUCAGCUGAUAGCUACUGGUUCCUCCCCCCCCAAUGGAACACAACCACUGACCAUAUUAGGACGUACCAUCAGCUGAUAGCUACUGGUUCCUCCCCCCCCAAUGGAAUACAACCACUGACCAUAUUAGGACGUACC
ensembl:lncRNA